rnacentral:rRNA from 1 species
AGUUAUCUGAACCUUCGGGGAACGAUAACGGCGUCGAGCGGCGGACGGGUGAGUAAUGCCUAGGAAAUUGCCCUGAUGUGGGGGAUAACCAUUGGAAACGAUGGCUAAUACCGCAUGAUGCCUACGGGCCAAAGAGGGGGACCUUCGGGCCUCUCGCGUCAGGAUAUGCCUAGGUGGGAUUAGCUAGUUGGUGAGGUAAGGGCUCACCAAGGCGACGAUCCCUAGCUGGUCUGAGAGGAUGAUCAGCCACACUGGAACUGAGACACGGUCCAGACUCCUACGGGAGGCAGCAGUGGGGAAUAUUGCACAAUGGGCGCAAGCCUGAUGCAGCCAUGCCGCGUGUGUGAAGAAGGCCUUCGGGUUGUAAAGCACUUUCAGUCGUGAGGAAGGUAGUGUAGUUAAUAGCUGCAUUAUUUGACGUUAGCGACAGAAGAAGCACCGGCUAACUCCGUGCCAGCAGCCGCGGUAAUACGGAGGGUGCGAGCGUUAAUCGGAAUUACUGGGCGUAAAGCGCAUGCAGGUGGUUUGUUAAGUCAGAUGUGAAAGCCCGGGGCUCAACCUCGGAAUAGCAUUUGAAACUGGCAGACUAGAGUACUGUAGAGGGGGGUAGAAUUUCAGGUGUAGCGGUGAAAUGCGUAGAGAUCUGAAGGAAUACCGGUGGCGAAGGCGGCCCCCUGGACAGAUACUGACACUCAGAUGCGAAAGCGUGGGGAGCAAACAGGAUUAGAUACCCUGGUAGUCCACGCCGUAAACGAUGUCUACUUGGAGGUUGUGGCCUUGAGCCGUGGCUUUCGGAGCUAACGCGUUAAGUAGACCGCCUGGGGAGUACGGUCGCAAGAUUAAAACUCAAAUGAAUUGACGGGGGCCCGCACAAGCGGUGGAGCAUGUGGUUUAAUUCGAUGCAACGCGAAGAACCUUACCUACUCUUGACAUCCAGAGAACUUUCCAGAGAUGGAUUGGUGCCUUCGGGAACUCUGAGACAGGUGCUGCAUGGCUGUCGUCAGCUCGUGUUGUGAAAUGUUGGGUUAAGUCCCGCAACGAGCGCAACCCUUAUCCUUGUUUGCCAGCGAGUAAUGUCGGGAACUCCAGGGAGACUGCCGGUGAUAAACCGGAGGAAGGUGGGGACGACGUCAAGUCAUCAUGGCCCUUACGAGUAGGGCUACACACGUGCUACAAUGGCGCAUACAGAGGGCGGCCAACUUGCGAAAGUGAGCGAAUCCCAAAAAGUGCGUCGUAGUCCGGAUUGGAGUCUGCAACUCGACUCCAUGAAGUCGGAAUCGCUAGUAAUCGUGGAUCAGAAUGCCACGGUGAAUACGUUCCCGGGCCUUGUACACACCGCCCGUCACACCAUGGGAGUGGGCUGCAAAAGAAGUAGGUAGUUUAACCUUCGGGGGGACGCU